AUGCGUCUAGUUGGUAUACUAAGAGUUGACAUCCCACAGCAAACAGCCCUCACGCAGCAGGAUGCUGGAAAGGGCUCGUCUAUAAAGAUUUCUUUUGAGCCACGGGACGGCGGUGUGAGCGGGGCAAGCGCGGAAGACCAGGGACGCGCAUCGUACGGAGCAGUUAGAGCCGCCUGGCCUGGGGCGGACCCGUCAGGGGCUCCCCAGUUGGUAGUCCCUGUGGGGCUGUGUUUUCCUUGUCCCGGGGAGUCCGCGCCUCCCAUGCCUGACCUUGAAAAGAGCAAAGCUUGCAGAGGCUGCAGGGAGAAGACAAAAAUAGGUUGCAUCUCGGGGAAUUUUGGAUGCUCAAUCUGUGCCAGAAAAGAGAAAGAAAAGGAAAAAAUGGAAAAACAGAUUGCUACAUCUGGGCCCCCACCAGAAGGUGGACUUAGGUGGACAGUUUCAUAAAGCAGAACGUGAAGAGAAGGGUCUACUGCCAAUAACUGUUUAUCUGUGAUCAAGUGGACUUCCUCAAUUUAAUUUCUUCUCUUUGAAUAAAGAUUCAGACUUUGUAAUAUUAUUGCACUUAAGUGCGAUGCUAAAAAAACCUUUAAUUUUCAAGCUUAGAAAAUGGCUAGACUUUUCAUUAAAUACUAAUUGUCCUACAUUUGCUCUUCUGCAGUUAGUAGGUGAUUUGCUAUUUUUCUUAGCAGUUAAAAAAUGGAACUAAAUAGUAAAUAUACAUACAUUGCAUGUAAAAAUGUUCCAUACACCUGUAAGAUUAAAAUUCGUAAUUGUAUUUUCAUCCUUUAUAAAAUGAUCUAACUACUUAUAUUUAUGCUGCUUCGCCUUACAUCUGUUUUUAUUUCACUAUAUAUGAAGAUGUUUGAUUAAACUUAUGGACUUAGUGCCUUUAAACUGAUCAUCGGGGAAAAUCUUGAAAAAAUCAUUUGAAGGGCUGAUGUGAAGGAGCACUGUAAAUUUUUAUAACUUACUAAGCAAUGAAUAUUUUUAGGCAGAUGUUAGGUUUCUUCUAAUUUAAGUUUAUGUAGCUUAUAAAAUAACAUACUAUGUUUUACAUUUAUGAUAAAGGGUUUUUUUUUCAUUGUUGGCUGAAUGUAAAAAUAUAUAUUAGUGAUACCAUCGGGGGCAGUGAUGUUCUAUUAUAUAUUAGAUUCAGCUCUGUAAAGAUCUUUGUAGUAACUGAAUGAGUUAAACUAAUAAGCUGGAUGGAUUAUGAGUGGUAAUACAUUUGUCCGUAUUUCAUAAGUAGUGUUAAUCUUGUCUACUUAAAAAGAGAAUGAUAUAAGAUUUAUACAGAUAUUAAUUGUCAAGGCAAGUAUGAAUGUAUGAAAAAGAAACAGUAGAUACUGUACUUAAAAAAGGUUUACUUCAGAUGUAAAAAUAUUGAAGUAAUUCUAUACAAUGCAUGUUCAUAAACCUUUGCAUUUUUGUUUAUUAGAAACAUGAAUUUUAUAGCAUUUUUGGUUUCUCCUUAUAUAAUACACUGAAAUAAAAUAAUUGCUAUUAGCUAUUAAGGUUGAUAACUCUUUUAAAUGGCAAGGCCACAUGUUGAGCCCUAAAUUAGAAUUUGCAGAUAUUAAGUGCCAAUAGAAGUUAUAAGUUAAAUUGACCAAAUUUACUUGCUCUACACAAAGGAAAUUGAGCCACUUUCUUCACCUAUCCCUGCCACAAGACUUAAGUUAUAUUGUGGUGUAUUGUACAUGUUAGUUUUAAAAAGUCUGAACUAUUAUAUAAUACAGACUUCUUGACUUCUCACUGAAAAAUUAUUUUUUUAUUAUGGUAUGAAAUAUUCUGUGAAUAUCUAGGCAAAACAUACUGUUAGUCUCCGUUUCUUUAUCCUUUAGAGGAUUAGUGCUGUUUUUGUUCAUAAAGGAUAGUGAAAUCAUCGAACUAUAUUUUAGAAUGAAAAUUUUUGAUUUUAUUAAAAUGAUUUUUUUCAAAGGAAAAGGAAUGAUUAAUAGCUGAGUGCCUAUGGAGCUAGAGCAUAGCAUCCUUGAACUGUGCAGAUCCUUUCUCCCAAUAGCAAGAACAAUUUUGUCUUUAAUACAUCUUAAAGAAUUGGGACUUGGCGUUCGUGUAAAUGGCUUACUUCCACGGAAUUAUGUCCUAUUUCUACAAGCAGUUUAUACCCAAAUGCCACGCUUAUCUAUUGUUAACCGUUAAUUAUAUUCAGAUAUAUUUCUUUUUGGGAAAAGUGGGACAUAUUCCUUCCAACCAUGGCCUGUCACCAUGAGUGUAAUCAGCUUUCUCCAAAACCACAUGGGCUGUAGGGGCUAAGGACUGGGACCCGUAUGUUAGGAGCAGUGUUAGGAAAGGGCAAGGGAAAAGAUGUGACUGGAUGCCUAAUGAGAAACCAGUAAUAUAUAUAUGUUAUAUAGGUGUGUGUGUACAUAUAUACACACACACACAUAUAUCCAGACAUCUCUCUCAUAAAGUAACCAUCAGUUCCUAUGAAAACCUUAUGUGGAAGCCAAUUUCUCAUAGUUAAUAAUUUAGGAGAAAAUUAUUAUGCUUAAAGUGUCACUUACAACCCCUAACCAAAUUACCAAACUAUAACUGGAAUAGUAAAAUGCAUAUAUGUAACUAUCAUGAUGUAAAAUGCUUAAACCACUGCUGCUUAAUACUAAUCAAACAUGGCUGCUGACGAAAGUUGUGAAUUAUUAUACAGCCCCUUUGUAACAUGCUGCAUGUUUUUAAAAACAUUUCUGUGUUUCUGUUUGUUCCACUGCUGGUAUUUGGAAUGUAAUUUAACAGUUCCCACACAUGGUUUGGUAUAAAUUCUGUAUUGCCUUUUAGGGAUAUA